GUAGGUGGCAAGCGUUGUCCGGAUUUACUGGGGCGUAAAGCGCGCGCAGGUGGCCUGCAUAGUCUGGGGGGGUGAAAUCUCUCGGGCUCAACCGAGAGAGGUCUCUGGAUACUGGCAGGCUUGAGAGGAGCAGAGGAGAGUGGAAUUCCCGGUGUAGCGGUGAUAUGCGUAGAUAUCGGGAGGAACACCAGUGGCGAAGGCGGCUCUCUGGGCUCUCUCUGACGCUGAGGCGCGAAAGCGUGGGGAGCGAACCGGAUUAGAUACCCCGGGUAGUCCACGCCGUAAACGUUGGGCACUAGGUGUGGGGGGUAUUGACCCCCCUCUGUGCCGUAGCUAACGCGUUAAGUGCCCCGCCUGGGGAGUACGGCCGCAAGGCUA
rnacentral:rRNA from 1 species